UGAAGGUCAGGCUGAAGACCUUACCCGAUUAGCUGAGAGGUGGUGCAUGGCCGUCGUCAGUUCGUACUGUGAAGCAUCCUGUUAAGUCAGGCAACGAGCGAGACCCACGUCCACAGUUGCCAGCAUACCCCUCCGGGGUGAUGGGUACACUGUGGAGACCGCCGCUGCUAAAGCGGAGGAAGGAGUGGGCAACGGUAAGUCAGUAUGCCCCGAAUCUCCCGGGCUACACGCGGGCUACAAUGGUUGGUACAAUGGGCAUCUACCCCGAAAGGGGAAGGAAAUCUCUUAAAGCCAAUCGUAGUUCGGAUUGAGGGCUGCAACUCGCCCUCAUGAAGCUGGAAUCCGUAGUAAUCGCGUUUCAACAGAACGCGGUGAAUACGUCCCUGCUCCUU
rnacentral:rRNA from 1 species